rnacentral:rRNA from 1 species
GGCGUCGAGCGGCGGACGGGUGAGUAAUGCCUAGGAAAUUGCCCUGAUGUGGGGGAUAACCAUUGGAAACGAUGGCUAAUACCGCAUGAUGCCUACGGGCCAAAGAGGGGGACCUUCGGGCCUCUCGCGUCAGGAUAUGCCUAGGUGGGAUUAGCUAGUUGGUGAGGUAAGGGCUCACCAAGGCGACGAUCCCUAGCUGGUCUGAGAGGAUGAUCAGCCACACUGGAACUGAGACACGGUCCAGACUCCUACGGGAGGCAGCAGUGGGGAAUAUUGCACAAUGGGCGCAAGCCUGAUGCAGCCAUGCCGCGUGUGUGAAGAAGGCCUUCGGGUUGUAAAGCACUUUCAGUCGUGAGGAAGGUAGUGUAGUUAAUAGCUGCAUUAUUUGACGUUAGCGACAGAAGAAGCACCGGCUAACUCCGUGCCAGCAGCCGCGGUAAUACGGAGGGUGCGAGCGUUAAUCGGAAUUACUGGGCGUAAAGCGCAUGCAGGUGGUUUGUUAAGUCAGAUGUGAAAGCCCGGGGCUCAACCUCGGAAUUGCAUUUGAAACUGGCAGACUAGAGUACUGUAGAGGGGGGUAGAAUUUCAGGUGUAGCGGUGAAAUGCGUAGAGAUCUGAAGGAAUACCGGUGGCGAAGGCGGCCCCCUGGACAGAUACUGACACUCAGAUGCGAAAGCGUGGGGAGCAAACAGGAUUAGAUACCCUGGUAGUCCACGCCGUAAACGAUGUCUACUUGGAGGUUGUGGCCUUGAGCCGUGGCUUUCGGAGCUAACGCGUUAAGUAGACCGCCUGGGGAGUACGGUCGCAAGAUUAAAACUCAAAUGAAUUGACGGGGGCCCGCACAAGCGGUGGAGCAUGUGGUUUAAUUCGAUGCAACGCGAAGAACCUUACCUACUCUUGACAUCCAGAGAACUUUCCAGAGAUGGAUUGGUGCCUUCGGGAACUCUGAGACAGGUGCUGCAUGGCUGUCGUCAGCUCGUGUUGUGAAAUGUUGGGUUAAGUCCCGCAACGAGCGCAACCCUUAUCCUUGUUUGCCAGCGAGUAAUGUCGGGAACUCCAGGGAGACUGCCGGUGAUAAACCGGAGGAAGGUGGGGACGACGUCAAGUCAUCAUGGCCCUUACGAGUAGGGCUACACACGUGCUACAAUGGCGCAUACAGAGGGC